rnacentral:rRNA from 1 species
AUUGAACGCUGGCGGCAGGCCUAACACAUGCAAGUCGAGCGAGCGGCGGACGGGUGAGUAAUGUCUGGGAAACUGCCUGAUGUGGGGGGAUAACUACUGGAAACGGUGGCUAAUACCGCAUACCCUCAGAUGUGCCCAGAUGGGAUUAGCUAGUGGGGGGGGUAACGGCUCACCUAGGCGACGAUCCCUAGCUGGUCUGAGAGGAUGACCAGCCACACUGGAACUGAGACACGGUCCAGACUCCUACGGGAGGCAGCAGUGGGGAAUAUUGCACAAUGGGCGCAAGCCUGAUGCAGCCAUGCCGCGUGUGUGAAGAAGGCCUUCGGGUUGUAAAGCACUUUCAGCGGGGAGGCGUUACCCGCAGAAGAAGCACCGGCUAACUACGUGCCAGCCGCCGCGGUAAUUC